UUUUGUCUGUUUUGUGUAGCCGGAGGAGGAGUGGGCAAAAGUGAGGAAGCGGCGGGCCCAAGAGUUUGAUGCACUGGUGAAGUCAUUACAGCCUGCAUUCCUUGAGAAACUCAAACUGAUCAGUGAGAAAAUAGGAAAGCCAAAGAACUCCUUCUCACAACAUGCAAACUCAACACAGACACAGGUCCCCAAGCUGGGUGCAGACUCAAAACCCUGCUGUGUGUUGUGAAGGAGCUGUACAUUGGUGCCAGUGGCAGGCAUGGAUGGAUUACUGAACGGGCACAGGCCCACCAGCAUGGGGCCACCAGCACGGGGCACACGGGGCAUCAGCUGCCACCAAAUAGAGGAUCAGCUUGGGCUCUAUAUGCUUCAAUAUAUAUGAUCCCAAUCAGUUUAAAAGGCCUUUAUGCUAUACUGUGUAUAGUA